rnacentral:tRNA from 1 species
UCCUGGUUAGCCCAGUUGAUAGAGCACUUCACUGGAAAUGGAGAGGUCCCUGGUUCAAUAUCAGGACCAGGUG